rnacentral:rRNA from 1 species
AGUGAACGCUGGCGGUAGGCCUAACACAUGCAAGUCGAACGGCAGCACAGUAAGAGCUUGCUCUUACGGGUGGCGAGUGGCGGACGGGUGAGGAAUACAUCGGAAUCUACUUUUUCGUGGGGGAUAACGUAGGGACACUUACGCUAAUACCGCAUACGACCUACGGGUGAAAGCAGGGGAUCUUCGGACCUUGCGCGACUGAAUGAGCCGAUGUCGGAUUAGCUAGUUGGCGAGGUAAAGGCCCACCAAGGCGACGAUCCGUAGCUGGUCUGAGAGGAUGAUCAGCCACACUGGAACUGAGACACGGUCCAGACUCCUACGGGAGGCAGCAGUGGGGAAUAUUGGACAAUGGGCGCAAGCCUGAUCCAGCCAUACCGCGUGGGUGAAGAAGGCCUUCGGGUUGUAAAGCCCUUUUGUUGGGAAAGAAAAGCAGCAGGUUAAUACCCCGCUGUUCUGACGGUACCCAAAGAAUAAGCACCGGCUAACUUCGUG